AUGAGUCAUUAGUUGGUGAACUCAAAGAGGCUUUGGCUGAUGCUGAGCACAGGCCUGAGAUCAUUCCUGGAGAGGAAGUUGUCAUAGAGGUUGCUCGCCACCCAGAUGUUGUCACAGUUGUCACAUGAAUAGUAGGCUGUGCAGGUUUGAAGCCUACCAUGGCUGCAAUAGAGGCAGGAAAAGACAGAGAAUUGGCUAAUAAAGAGACCCUGAUUGCUGGAGGUCCUUUUGUACUUCCUCUGGCGCA